rnacentral:misc_RNA from 1 species
GAAAUGCGAUAAGUAAUGUGAAUUGCAGAAUUCAGUGAAUCAUCGAAUCUUUGAACGCACCUUGCGCUCCUUGGUAUUCCUUGGAGCAUGUCUAUUUGAGUAUCAUGAAAUCUUCAAAGUAAAUCUUUUGUUAACUCAAUUGGUUUCUACUUUGGUAUUGGAGGUCUUUGCAGCUUCACACCUGCUCCUCUUUGUUCAUUAGCUGGAUCUCAGUGUUAUGCUUGGUUCCACUCGGCGUGAUAAGUUAUCUAUCGCUGAGGACACUGUAAAAGGUGGCCAAGGUAAAUGCAGAUGAACCGCUUCUAAUAGUCCAUUGACUUGGACAAUACUUUUAUGAUCUGAUCUCAAAUCAGGUAGGACUACCCGCUGAACUUAAGC